AACGAACGCUGGCGGCGUGGUUAAGGCAUGCAAGUCGAACGGACUUAUCCAAGGGGUAACUCGAGGGUAAGUUAGUGGCGAACGGGUGAGGAAUACAUGGGUAACGUGCCCCGGACUCAGGGAUAGCGGCGGGAGCUUCGGCUCCCUUUGCGAAAGUGCCGGUAAUACCUGAUGAACCAGUAGCAUCGCAUGGUGCAUCUGGCAAGGGUCCGCCGGUCUGGGAGCGGCCCAUGUCCUAUCAGCUAGUUGGUGAGGUGAUGGCUCACCAAGGCAACGACGGGUAGCGGGCGUGAGAGCGUGGCCCGCCACAUCGGGACUGAGACACUGCCCGGACACCUACGGGUGGCUGCAGCAACGAAUAUUCCGCAAUGGGCGAAAGCCUGACGGAGCGACGCCGCGUGAAGGAUGAAGUCUUUCGGGAUGUAAACUUCUGUCAAGGAUUAGGAACACAAUGACCAGUCCUAAAGGAAGCACCGGCUAAUUCCGUGCCAGCAGCCGAC
rnacentral:rRNA from 1 species